CCUAGGCUCCUCAGCUCAGCAGGGUUGGGGUGACCCUCCCCCAGAGCUGCACUGUCUGCUGAGGAGGCCUCCUCUCAGAGCUCUGUGGUUCCUGUGUGGAGAGCCGCUUGGGCAUGCCCGGGCAAAACGUCAGAUGUGGAGAGUCGCUUGGGCAUGCCCGGGCAAAACGCCAUUACAAGAUGGUGCCGACAUCCGGCUCUGACCCUGGAAGACAAGUAAUAUUAUGCAUGUGCAAGGGCAAAAGCGCGCCAAGUCUUGGCCCAGCCCAGGGCGUCUUGUGAGGUGAUGAGUAAGCAGCCAAUCAUAGACCACACACCGCCUUAGGGUGUAUAUAAGCAGUGCCAUUCCUGGGCUCGGGGUCUUUCUCCUCUCAUCGCUUGACUGCAAUAAAGCUUGCUGCAGAAGGAUCCUGUUGUCCGUGUGCGUUCUUGCUGGCGAGACGACCACGCGGGUUGCAACAACUGGUGCCGAAACCCGGGAUGCAGGGCUACCGACCAUCGUCGGCGCUGAGGAGACCCCCCCGCCGGGGGGAGGAUUCAGAACUGCAGUCUCAGGAAGAAGAUAAUCCCUUUUGGUGACCGGAACGCUUGACACGGAAGCUUGUGAUACCUGAAGAUGACUCCCCAAAGGACGUGCCUGCAGAGAAAAGUGGUCGGAAGGGUUCGAUGAGACUCUCGAAUCAUUGUGAGCGGCAGUGAUAGCCAUCAACUCGACACGAGUGGACCUGUCAUUGACUGAAGGACUCUCCUCCUGGAUCUCUUCAGCCUUUUCUUUCUUUAAAGAGUGGGUGGGGGUAGGCCUGUUUGGCACUGCCUUAGUUUGCGGUUUAGUGUUCUCACUUUGGUUGGUCUGUAAGCUCAAAGCCCAACAAAAAUGUGACAAGGUCGUAAUUGCUCAAGCGUUUGCAGCCAUGGAACAGGGUUCCUCCCCCGCAAUGUGGCUUUCAAUGCUGACAAAAAACUGAGUGCCUUUCGCUGACAGCCCAUGCACCCCUAGGAGUCGAGCUCCAUUGCACAGGGAAGGGUGUCACAAGUGGUAUGGUCUAAUUUUCUUCACACUCGGGAUGCGAGGUUAAGCACUGCACAGAGAAAGGCUCAUAAUAGGCAGUUCUCUGGGAAGCAUGUUUGAUUGCAUGAAGGUUGUACCCAAGAUCCUUCCCCUGGGAAAAAGGUACGGGACGGGUCUGGAGUCACAUGCAGGUGAAGGGCCUGUGGCUGGCUCUAGUACAAUGCCCCUUUUACACACACUAGGGAUCAAACCUCUACUUCCGCCCGUUGUGUUUCUUGUUUGUUGGUCAGCUUCUAAUAAAACAAAAAGGGGGAGAUGUGGAGAGCCACUUGGGCGUGCCCGGGCAAAACGCCAUUACAAGAUGGUGCCGACAUCUGGCUCUGACCCUGGAAGACAAGUAAUAUUACGCAUGCGCAAGGGCAAAAGCGUGCCAAGUCUUGGCCCAGCCCAGGGUGUCUUGUGAGGUGAUGAGUAAGCAGCCAAUCAUAGACCACACGCCGCCUUAGGGUGUAUAUAAGCAGUGCCAUUCCUGGGCUCGGGGUCUUCCUCCUCUCAUCGCUUGACUGCAAUAAAGCUUGCUGCAGAAGGA